rnacentral:rRNA from 1 species
AUUGAACGCCGGCGGCAGGCCUAACACAUGCAAGUCGAGCGGAUGAGAGGAGCUUGCUUCUCGAUUCAGCGGCGGACGGGCGAGUAAUGCCUAGGAAUCUGCCUGGUAGUGGGGGACAACGUUUCGAAAGGAACGCUAAUACCGCAUACGUCCUACGGGAGAAAGCAGGGGACCUUCGGGCCUUGCGCUAUCAGAUGAGCCUAGGUCGGAUUAGCUAGUUGGUGAGGUAAUGGCUCACCAAGGCGACGAUCCGUAACUGGUCUGAGAGGAUGAUCAGUCACACUGGAACUGAGACACGGUCCAGACUCCUACGGGAGGCAGCAGUGGGGAAUAUUGGACAAUGGGCGAAAGCCUGAUCCAGCCAUGCCGCGUGUGUGAAGAAGGUCUUCGGAUUGUAAAGCACUUUAAGUUGGGAGGAAGGGUUGUAGAUUAAUACUCUGCAAUUUUGACGUUACCGACAGAAUAAGCACCGGCUAACUCUGUGCCAGCAGCCGCGGUAACAC